UCAUAAAGUAAAUAUCUGUGCUUUCUGGUAGUCUUAGGCCACCCCUGUGAAAGGGUUGUUAGUCCCACAAAGGAGUUGUGACCUACGGGUUGAGAAACAUUGCUCUAGAGUAAGAGCACUAAG